rnacentral:rRNA from 1 species
CCUACGGGAGGCAGCAGUGGGGAAUAUUGCACAAUGGAGGAAACCCUGAUGCAGCGACGCCGCGUGAGUGAAGAAGUAUUUCGGUACGUAAAGCUCUGUCAGCAGGGAAGAAAAUGACGUUACCUGACUAACAAGCCCCGGCUAACUACGUGCCAGCAGCCGCCGUAAUACGUAGGGGGCAAGCGUUAUCCGGAUUUACUGGGUGUAAAGGUAGCGUAGACGGAAGCGCAAGUCUGGAGUGAAAUCCCAUGGCUUAACCAGGGAACGGCUUUGGAAACUGUGCAGCUAGAGUGCAGGAGAGGGAAGCGGAAUUCCUAGUGUAGCGGUGAAAUGCGUAGAUAUUAGGAGGAACACCAGUGGCGAAGGCGGCUUACUGGACUGUAACUGACGUUGAGGCUCGAAAGCGUGGGGAGCAAACAGGAUUAGAUACCCUUGUAGUC